rnacentral:rRNA from 1 species
UACGUAGGGUGCGAGCGUUGUCCGGAAUUAUUGGGCGUAAAGGGCUCGUAGGCGGUUUGUCGCGUCGGGAGUGAAAACGCCGUGCUUAACACGGCGCUUGCUUUCGAUACGGGCAGACUAGAGGUAUGCAGGGGAGAACGGAAUUCCCGGUGUAGCGGUGAAAUGCGCAGAUAUCGGGAGGAACACCGGUGGCGAAGGCAGGUCUCUGGGCAUUAACUGACGCUGAGGAGCGAAAGCAUGGGGAGCGAACAGG